ACAAAAGUCGCUCCUGAUCACAGCGGAGACCAGAUACACCCAAGAUGUUAUUAAACAGAAUGUCGAACAUCCCAUUGGAAGUACGUACGUUCCAGUUAAUGCUGACAAGGCAGAGUUCUCCACCAAACAAUAGGAUGGCUUCUGCUUCUGCUUUCCCACAAUUCUGGUCUAUAUUUUGGGGACUGAGGCAACACCUGCAGCUUCUGAUGCCACCUGUGUGGGAAUUAAGGGCCCUCAGGAGUGAGAAGCCACCAAUGCCAUGUGAUCCGGUCAUAGACAUUAUAUUGAGGACCCACUGUGUGAAGGCAAGUGCUGGUAAGGGCUGCUGACCUCAGCCCUCCGCCUCCAGUUAAAAUCUUAGUGAGAUAGUAAU
rnacentral:lncRNA from 1 species